rnacentral:rRNA from 1 species
AUUGAACGCUGGCGGCAGGCCUAACACAUGCAAGUCGAACGAGUGGCGGACGGGUGAGUAAUGUCUGGGAAACUGCCUGAUGGAGGGGGAUAACUACUGGAAACGUUAGCUAAUACCGCAUACCAUCGGAUGUGCCCAGAUGGGAUUAGCUAGUAGGUGGGGUAAAGGCUCACCUAGGCGACGAUCCCUAGCUUGUCUGAGAGGAUGACCAGCCACACUGGAACUGAGACACGGUCCAUACUCCUACGUGAGGCAGCAGUGGGGAAUAUUGGACAAUUGGCGAAAGCCUGAUGCAGCCAUGCCGCGUGUAUGAAGAAGGCCUUCGGUUUGUAAAGUACUUUCAGCGGGGAGGCGUUACCCGCAGAAGAAGCACCGGCUAACUCCGUGCCAGCAGCCGCGGUAAUUC